rnacentral:rRNA from 1 species
AUUGAACGCUGGCGGAAUGCUUUACACAUGCAAGUCGAACGGCAGCACGGACUUCGGUCUGGUGGCGAGUGGCGAACGGGUGAGUAAUGUAUCGGAACGUGCCCAGUCGUGGGGGAUAACGUAGUGAAAAUUACGCUAAUACCGCAUACGAUCUAUGGAUGAAAGCGGGGGAUCGCAAGACCUCGCGCGAUUGGAGCGGCCGAUAUCAGAUUAGGUAGUUGGUGGGGUAAAGGCCCACCAAGCCAACGAUCUGUAGCUGGUCUGAGAGGACGACCAGCAACGCUGGAACUGAGACACGGUCCAGACGCCGACGGGAGGCAGCAGUGGGGAAUUGUGGACAAUGGGCGAAAGCCUGAUCCAGCCAUUCCGCGUGCAGGAUGAAGGCCCUCGGGUUGUAAACUGCUUUUGUACAGAACGAAAAGGUUUCUACUAAUACUAGGAGCUCAUGACGGUACUGUAAGAAUAAGCACCGGCUAACUACGUGCCAGCAGCCGCGGUAA